UUACAGCCAUAUCACGUUGAAACACCGGUCCUUGGACGAUCACCGAAUUUAAGCAACGUGGAACCUGGUCAGUACCUAGAUGGGUGACCGCUUGGGAAUACUAGGUAAUGUAAG